rnacentral:rRNA from 1 species
GACAGUAUCUGGUAAAGAAACCCCGGCUAAGUCCGUGCCAGCAGCCGCGGUAAUACGGAGGGGGUUAGCGUUGUUCGGAAUUACUGGGCGUAAAGCGUACGUAGGCGGAUUAGUCAGUUAGAGGUGAAAUCCCAGGGCUCAACCCUGGAACUGCCUUUGAUACUGCUAGUCUUGAGUUCGAGAGAGGUGAGUGGAAUUCCAAGUGUAGAGGUGAAAUUCGUAGAUAUUUGGAGGAACACCAGUGGCGAAGGCGGCUCACUGGCUCGAUACUGACGCUGAGGUACGAAAGUGUGGGGAGCAAACAGGAUUAGAUACCCUGGUAGUCCACACCGUAAACGAUGAAUGCCAGUCGUCGGGAAGUAUACUGUUCGGUGACACACCUAACGGAUUAAGCAUUCCGCCUGGGGAG